AAACCAACUGGGAUUACCUUAGUAACGGCGAGUGAAGCGGUAAAAGCUCAAAUUUGAAAUCUGGUACUUUCAGUGCCCGAGUUGUAAUUUGUAGAAUUUGUCUUUGAUUAGGUCCUUGUCUAUGUUCCUUGGAACAGGACGUCAUAGAGGGUGAGAAUCCCGUUUGGCGAGGAUACCUUUUCUCUGUAAGACUUUUUCGAAGAGUCGAGUUGUUUGGGAAUGCAGCUCAAAGUGGGUGGUAAAUUCCAUCUAAAGCUAAAUAUUGGCGAGAGACCGAUAGCGAACAAGUACAGUGAUGGAAAGAUGAAAAGAACUUUGAAAAGAGAGUGAAAAAGUACGUGAAAUUGUUGAAAGGGAAGGGCAUUUGAUCAGACAUGGUGUUUUUUAAAUGUGCAAGUCUCUCGUGGACAUGUGCCUCUGGAAAUUAACACUGGGCCAACAUCAGUUCUGGCGGCAGGAUAAGUCAUUAAGAAUGUAGCUACCUCGGUAGUGUUAUAGCUUUUUGGAAUACUGCC
rnacentral:rRNA from 1 species